UACACUUUGCUGUGGAUUAGUGUUG
rnacentral:piRNA from 1 species